GCUUAUUCUCAGGGCGGGGCGAAAUUCCCCACCGGCGGUAAAUCAGCGAUGUCCAAUAGAUUUCGCGUAGCGGCAAGGCGGCAACUGAGCGAAUUCCGAGGAACAUAAUCAACUAUGUGACUGGGAUGAGUGAAGAAGCCAACGCAGCAGCGGCGUGAAAAGAUGAAGGACAGGUUGAAAAGCCCGCGAGCGCUUUCGAUGCAAAUCGAAAGGUCAGCAGAUCCGGUGUAAUUCCGGGGCCGACGGUUAAAGUCCGGAUGGGAGAGAGUAACG
rnacentral:ncRNA from 15 species